UACAGAGGGUGCAAGCGUUAAUCGGAGUUAUUGGGCGUAAAGCGUGCGUAGGCGGAUAUCUAAGUCGGGUGUGAAAUCCCUGGGCUCAACCUGGGAACUGCGCUCGAUACUGGAUAUCUAGAGUAUGAUAGAGGAAAGCGGAAUUUCCGGUGUAGCGGUGAAAUGCGUAGAUAUCGGAAAGAACAUCGGUGGCGAAGGCGGCUUUCUAGAUCAAUACAGACGCUGAGGUACGAGAGCGUGGGGAGCAAAC
rnacentral:rRNA from 1 species